rnacentral:rRNA from 1 species
CGCGUAGGCGGUUUCGGAAGUCAUGGGUGAAAGUCCUCGGCUCAACCGAGGGAUUGCCUGUGAAACCACAGGACUGGAGUGCUGGAGAGGGAAGCGGAAUUCCCAGUGUAGCGGUGAAAUGCGUAGAUAUUGGGAGGAACAUCUGUGGCGAAGGCGGCUUCCUGGACAGACACUGACGCUGAGGCGCGAAAGCCAGGGGAGCGAACG